UCAACGUUGGAACCGCAUUCCUGCUGGAAUCGUUCCGAAUGCACUUACGUUGCGAUAGUGAAAAGUGUUGAAAAUUAGUGCUUUCUGGGGGGUGGUUAAUUGCGGGAAAAUCGAGCUGCUGGAAAAGUGGUGCUCCAGCGAAUCGUGUUUGGGCGAUGCGCCUGUGGUGGUGAUUCGAGCGGUGGAAACCUGUUCGAGCAAUCAACAACAACUUGUUAGUCAGUCUGCUGAAAGGAUUCCAAGUUGAGUGGCCGACUUGGGAGUGUUGGUGUGGAAUAUAUCCGAUACGGCCGGGGUGUAGUUGUGAGCGUUCGAAUCGGUGCUGUGGAAAUUCGAGUUUGCAAGCAUGGCCGCCGGGUCCGGCUCAGUGUUCUGUCGAUUUCGUGUGGAAAAUUGAUGAAAAGUGGACCAAAAAGGAGCGGACGAACCCGAAAAUCAGUCCAGCAGUGCAUCGCUUGUGGAAUAAAUUGAAGAAUUGUGGAUUUAAAGCAACGCAAGGCAAAAUGUGGGAUUCUAAUUGGCAGUAAGUGAAUGCUGCAGUGACUCAGUGGAUCUACCCUCGUCAAUGUGUAGCUGAUGUGUUGUGUAAUGUUACUACGGAACAGGACGGGAGUUUUUCCAGCGCAACCGAGCAAACAAGUUGGGAAUAUUGUGCUCGCUUCGAAGUACACCUGCUAGAUCCGCACCUGUUGGACUGGAAUUUUCCGCCCCGGACAUCCGCCAACGUAGAGUAAUGCAGAAGAGUAUCCUCUCAUCACCACGCAUCGGUCGUCGUAUUUUUGGAACGACUAGCCCUCCACUUACGGCUACUUGUUGCAUCAUGCUACAAUAAUUACAUACAUACAUUAAUAAGCUAGCUAACGCUGUCCCACUGUGGAAGUGGACUCUACUAGAAAUAUGUGACACCGACGAACAAAAGCAAUUUAACUUUUUGGAAAUACAACGAAAGCAAUAACCAUCCUGUGAAAACGAGAGAAAACAGAAAAAACAACAAAAAAAGUAUUUAAAAAUAGUUUGGAAUAAAAUUCCAAUUUUUAUACGUCACGAUCAGAGAUUAUAGCAGUAAAUAUUUAUUACCCCAAACAAACUUUUAACAGCAAAACAACAGAUAAAAAUAAAUCAAUAUCGUUGCAACUAAAUCGACUAAAAACAAAUUUCACCCAUCCUACGAAACGCGGUGGAAGGAAGUGAGAGCCCCAACCCGACGACACUACCCCAUAACAACAAGUGUUUUACGAUUGUUGUUCCUAAAUACAUGAAUAUACACACCGACUUACCUUUAUUGGUCCCUGUCGCCCUACUCAAACUCGCGGAGCCAAGCGUUUGGCCACCCAGCAACACCCCCUCCAGAAGCAUCCUUUCGUGUGAGAAUCCGAGAAUCAUCGAAACUCUCACCCACUCACCACCAACACAACGAGGAAAGCUGUGGACACACAUAAUAUAAACAUUACACACCAGCAACAACAGGAGCAAGGAAAAAAAGCAUUAACAACAACCGAACCAAGGGAACCAACGGAGCGCGUUUGAGGUGCUGAAUUCAACCGGUCUCACUCAAGUGCACAUGUGAUUCACUAACACCAACACUGUUGCCAAGCAGGCAAGCAAGUAAAAAUCAGCCAAACCCGUAGCUGCUGCUGCCAACCUGUCAAGGAUUCGACUAUACGAGCGCGCAUAAGAAACCAUUAAAGCAUAUUUCAUAAAUCCAACAAGUGUGUUGUUUUACGGAACACGGUUCCUCGACUCCAACACCAAAAGAAACGAGGGGUAGGGGGGGGCAAUAGCAUCACCAAGUAUAGCAGAAGUGUGGUUUUCGUUUCAUUUUUAUCGAUUUAUUAGCCUGAUUCUACACUCGAAGCUAGUUACGGGGGAGGGGGGAGCGAAAGAGUACAACUCCUUCCCGAAAUAAAUAACAUUAUUAGUGAGAGGGAUCAAUCCAAACAUGCCCCGUUGCUACAUCGUCAAGAAGCAGGCAGUUCAACAUGUUUCUGCCGGCGCUGGGGUAAUUCCCUACGGACGACUAACUACUAAUGGGCUAUCCAGUCAAACCGGCGGUAAGGUUACGAUUAUUGGAAGCGGUGGAAAUGGUGGCCCACCGGAUGUGGGAAACGUGAUUGUAAGACACAGCAGCAGCAGCAGCAGCAACAGCAGUGGUGCAGCAGGGCUCACCAGCGGGGGUAACACCUACGGAAUGGUGGGCUCAGGAGGACUGACCUGUACCAACAACGGCCCGGCUGGGAAGACCGGAAACGUGAUUAUACUGAAUAGUGUGAGUGUGAUUAGCGGUGGUCCCGGGGUGAUGGGCAGUGUUACCGGCGGUGGUGGUCCCAGCAGUGGUAUGACCAGCGCCGAAGGCAGUGGAACGGGCGGAGUUAUACAACGAAUAGAGGAUGCUGCCGGACCCACGAGCCCAACGGAGGCGUGUGUCGCGCCGAUUUACUACACCAGCUUAGCGGAAAAUCCAAACGGAUUUUCGAUUCAACUUAGCGAUUGCCGAAAUAUGAAAUGCGCUCCAAACAUUUCCAUCCCAACCAACAGUGUCAGGAGCAACAAUAAUAACACCAACACCAGAAACAACAAUAACAAUAUCAACUUUAACCACGUGAAAGCUAAUUCCUCAAGACAUUUAUCGGUAAGUGCUUCCUCAAACCAUUCCGUCGUCAACCAAUUGCCUUCGGCAUCGGUAGCAGCAACAGUAGCAGCCGCCACAGCUACCCCCGCCGCCGCCACCGCCGCCACUGCUUCCCCGCAGCCGAUAGCAACGACGACGACGACGACAACAACGGUGCUAAAAUCCGGCCGUAACCAUAAUAAUUAUCCAAAUAAAAGAGAACAGCAGAUGUUAAUUUACACGCAGCCCUCGCCAGAUAAGAAGGGAAAUAAAUCACCUCCGCCAGUGCCCGCGGGUAUCAACUCAUCUUCCGUGUAUGCCACAGCCAGUAAUAGCAGCAGCAGCAGCAACAACAACAACAGCGACAGAACCAGCAGCGGCAGCGGCGGCAAUAAUAGUACAACAGGUCGUCAAUCGCCUGUUACCUCAUUCCAGUACGACAUCACCUCGCCAAUAUUUCGCGAUCGGAGCAUCGAAGAAACGGAAGCGGCCCAUGAUUUAUUGUCCUUAUCACAAAGCCUGCCCCCACUCCCAGCUCCAUGCGUUGUGACAAUUCUUCAAAGUUCGGAGCCGACCGUAAACUUUGUCACGUCCGGAACUCAACCCUCAAACCACAACUCAGCCGCCUCUCACACCCAGCAAUCCACAGAGCAGCCAACGGUUGUCCAAAAUAACAUCAUAAAUAUUGUCGACGGAAGCUACCACUGUUCCCCCGGAUCGGUUCCGAUAUCUAUGAUAAUACCGUGUUACGAAAUUUCUGCCACUUCAGUCCCGCUAAAGACUAUUACUGCCGCGGCUCCCCUAACUCCACCCACUUCGGAGCACUCGUCCGACACCGAAAGCAAUGGAUCCUCACCGGCCCAAGGACCAAUCGUCUCAUUCGUAUCGUCUUCCAACCAAUCCAACAAAAGGAACAGAAAACUAUCUGCCGCGAUGGUGGUUCCGAACAAAAAGACCAAAGUCACAAACAACGACUCCUCCUCUCUGGUUGGAGACACGGCUCUAAACAAAGCCCAAAUGGCAGAACUCUAUACCUACGAUGACCUCAUCUCCAGUGACGGCCGCUCAAAAAAUCGCAAGAAGUCCUCCUCGACUUCACCCAAAGAUCUGAACAACUCCGUCACAGACGAAAAGCAACCACAACCAGAGACCAAAUCAGCAUCACCAUCGAAUGUUGCCGUGUCCAAGGGGAAAUACAAGUGUCCCGAGUGUGGUAAGCAGUACGCAACAUCGAGCAACCUCUCGCGCCACAAACAAACUCAUCGAAGUCUUGACUCGCAAUCGGCCAAGAAGUGUCAAACCUGUGGCAAAGCGUACGUCUCGAUGCCUGCCCUGGCGAUGCAUCUGCUCACCCACAAAUUGUCCCACAGCUGCGGAGUGUGCGGCAAGCUGUUCUCGCGGCCAUGGCUUCUCCAGGGUCAUCUCCGGUCGCACACGGGUGAAAAACCGUACGGCUGCGGACACUGCGGCAAGGCCUUCGCCGAUCGGUCGAACUUGCGGGCCCAUAUGCAGACUCACUCGACCGAUAAGAACUUCGAAUGCCACCGCUGUCACAAGACGUUCGCUCUGAAGUCCUAUCUCAACAAACAUCUGGAGUCGGCAUGCAACCGGGAGGAUGACAUGGUCGGUGGUAGGAAAAUCUAUCACAGCAGUAAGGACAUCGAUCGGGAUGAGGCCCGACAGCGGCAGCUACAGCUACUGGACGAGAACAGUUGCAUGACGAUCGAUGUGGUCACAACGACCAGCUCCGGGUUCGAUAAUGCUGGGAUCGAUGAUGGGGACGAUGAUGACGAUGAAGAUGAAGAUAUCGAUGUGAUCACGGAGUAAAUAGGUAGUCGCGUAAUUCGUGGUUCUCUCCUGUUCCAUCUGUUUCUUAGGUACUUUCCCCCACCUCGUUCCACCCUCUCUAAGGCCACUUGUUCUUGCCCAGAAACCCUUGAUUGAACAUUCGAGCAUCCGAGCAAGGGCAGCGGCCGGCCGUAAAAAGUGAGUCCUCCUAUGCGCGUCAGGGACGGAAGGGGCCGACAGGCUGACCGAAAACAGGCCUCGCAACUGUCCUUGUUCCUUGGAAGCAUUCUUCUGACGGCAGCGGCAGAGGACAUCCAAGUCAUUAUCAAUCACCAUUAUCGACCACGGAACCAAAGCAGUGGGUAAUAGAAGUAGGGGACGCCGCAAAAAAAAACCGCAGGACAACACCAAAACCACCCGAGAUUCGGGUAUCAUCUUCAAUCAUCGUCACCAUUGUCGUCAUCCGAAUCAUUACCGUCAUCAAUCGCAGCAUAAAGGCCAUCAAUAGCAGCCGCAGCAACAACAACAAAAACGCGCUACUAUCGCAAGUGUCAAUCAUUUUAUAUACGUUUUUAAUCGAUUAAUCGAUAAGUCCGAAAGAUUUUUUUUUUUGCGGUCAAGUGGGACACUCCAAUAAUAAUGGCGUUGAAGUAAAAAUCCCACACAAACCGAGAUGAAAAUGAAUCUCCACGUGUACUGCAGCUCUGUCGGAAAAAACAGAAGUGGAAAACAAGAUGAUGACCAAAUUCAAAUUAAUUGCGAUAUGUCAGAUAAGAUUGUUGCCAGAUCUUGUGAGUCAUUAUUGAUAUUAUAAGUUUUCAGUUCAAUUCAUAAACUUGUUCAGCAAUUUGACAAAAAUAAGUCAUCAUGUCACGAACUUGAUAGUCGAAUGGGUUCGAGACCAAACAUUAUAUGUGAUACGCAAGUCAACGGGAUUUUUUUUAAAAUAUCUGUAUUUAUUUCAACCAUAUCUUAUUAUUAUAUAUUUGAUUAUAAGACAAAUGCCUGGCGUCGAAUUAAAACUGCUGAAAAAUACACUACAUCACAUCAUUAGAAACUCUAAUACAGAGUCAAUUAUCCAUUGUGUCAUGGCAACACUUGCCGAGGAAAUAAACAAAAGCGAAGAAUCAAGAGUCCGUACGAAUACAGAGUACACUGUCUUCCUUAGCAGAGAAGCAAAUGAUCAAAAUGUUUUAUGACAAAUCGCACCAUCAAAGGGGAUGCCGAUUCGAUGAAUGGAAGACAACAACAAACAUACAAUGUCUAAGAUGUAAAAUAAAACAAAAACAAAUGAAACAGUAUGGAAUUAUUAACAUAAAACAAAAGCGAGAGAGAGACAGAGAGAUUCAUGACAGAAAAUAUUUUUAUAAAAGCAAAUUUUAGUUUGUAAUGAUAGUAUUUGAAAAAUACACUUUGUGAAAACAAACGCAAUUUCGGCUACAAAGUAGAAAAGCAAAAGCAAUACAGAAACACAUUCACUUUCCCCUUAGCGUUUAGGAUUAGAUGUAGAUAUAAUAGUGAGUUUUUUUUUAUAGUUUCGCCAAUUCACGCCAGUUUUAGCUGUAAAAAAUAGAAUAAUAAGGAGAUAAAGGCAAAACGAAACAAAAAAAAGUACGGAGCUGGCAAGUGGUAUAAUUAAUAACCCAUUACUUGACAGGGAACCGUCCCGAGCAAAGUUUGAUACUUUCGAGCCUGUCCCAACAGAAGUGAGAAAGCCGCGACAUUUUUGUAUGGUCGUAACGAGCAAAAGGGCGAAAAAGGGGAAGGGGAGCUUGUUUGACCCGAAGGGAAGGGUUGACGAAGGCGGAGCUGUUAUGUGACACUUGCAGGCCCCCCCAAAUAUGUUAUCCGAAAGAUAAAUUACCCAUGAAGUGGUUAGCCAUUGCACGGGACGACGCUCUGAUUGACGAGUGAGGAACAGCAGAGCGUCUAAAUCAACCAUGUUACACGUUAUGUAGGAGGAAAAAUGGGUCAGAGUGUUGAAGAAACGAUUAAUUCUCAAACAACCGCAAAAUACAAAUAAGAGCAACGAAAAAAGUAGUAGAGGUAGAACGUGUAAUCGUUCCACGAGAUUAUUUGGAAGUCAUCCCAUUAUUACGUUUAUUGAAAAGUUUAAAACUAUAGACUGCAUAAGCCGAUAUGCGAUCAGAUAUAUUCGAACAACUAUAGGAAUCAACAGCUCAUCCAGAAUAUCCUCUGCUAUAUUUUCUAUUCAAUUAAAAAAUCGAUACUCUUCUUAACUAUGAAUUCGAGAGAUGUAUAUAUAUUUUAUUAGUUUUGAAAGAUCAUAGAUAUCGGUAGGAGUUCUAUUACUAACUAAAUCCAAACUUCUAAGUAUGAUUAGCCUUAGAGAAACAGUAACUAGUCAUUUACUACGGUAGCAUUUAUCUCUAGUCAAUUGGGCAUCGCUAAGCAGUGCGACACUUUCAAAACGGUGUCAAUUUAAGUAAAACUAAUCCUAAUUAAUACAACGGAAAGCAUUGUCUAUUUUAUUGUUCGCAUAACACAGACGUCAUAAUCAAUUAAAUUUAUCAACUUUUCAGGUAUCGAAAAAAUUGAAACACAUAUUGGAAAGUGAUUGUCACACAGCUAUGAAACGCCGCCAACGCAUUCCGUUCCAUUGCAUAUUCCAUCUGAUAAUCCCGUAAAUAGAUAAUAUUUACACUAUCCCUCAGUCCGGAUCAACUCGCUGGUUCUACCCAUAUGAGGAGAGUUCGCUGCCGUAACAGGGCAGUUUCCAUUAAGGGGGAAUCUGAUAAUAUUUAGUUUGCGCGUUAUAGGCUUAACACACUAUCAAAAAUUCAAACCGUCGAAACGAUUCCAAUGCUCGCACGAUUGCCAUGUGAAACCAAAACACCCACUCUCUCUCUCCGAACAGUGUCAGUGUGUUUGUCCGGGGCUCAAAUUGGUUUUGAGUAAUUUUACGAAUCUACCGGCCCUCACUAGCACCCGCCCUUUCAGACACCCAAAAUUUCCCAUCAAGUGACCACUCAAUUCGCGUCGUAUCCACCGGGACGAAAUUGAUGAUUUUUGUUUCUAUGGACACACACACGCAACAGCUUAUCGGGAUUGACCUGAUAGCGAGUGACCCCGCCUGCACCACCCUCACUUGCGUGGUAGUGCGCUUCAGCGUGAAAAGCGACGUCACUUAAAAUGGAAAACUCCUUUUUUUGUUUUGUUUUUUCAUUGGAAUCGGGAGUACUUUGCAUUUUAUGCACCAUUGUAGAUAGAUUAUACAAUAGAAUAGGCGCUUUAUGUGUUAUGCAUGAAUUCUCCGUUGCUAACGGGCGUAUUUUUGAUUUUUGGUGUGAUGGAGAAGAGGGGAAGGUGGUACUUGUAUCUGCCUGUCAAGGACAGAGAUCCGAUAUUGAGCUACGGACUAGGGCUGAUAAAUUGAAUUAAAAUGCAAGCACUCUAAUUAUUAAUUGUACAAAUAGCGCCAAUCAUAAAGCUCUCCUUCACACAUUAUUUUGUUAAAAAUUCUGCAGGAUGACAUGUAAUUCUUUGCAUGAUUACAGAUUAGUCAAUUACAUCAAUUUUCUAUUCAAUAUUUCAUCUCGAUAGUUUAUUGAUAGUUUGAGUAAUCUGAACGAUUUUCAAACUACAUUCUCGUUUGCCAAUGGUGAUGAUUUUUUUUCUUAACUUAUACUUUGUACUACCUUCUACAAAGCCAAAUAAAAUAAAGCAAAAAAAUCUAUUGUUUGAAAAAACCCCGAAUUAAAAAAGAAUACAUUUUAUACUCUUCGUCAACCCGAGCAAUUCGCGCAACUCACAAACAGAACUCUCGCUAGUCCCUUUGUCAUUAUAUCAGCAAUUUGACUGUCUGUUGGAACAUACACUAACCGAAUCAAUUCCUUCUGAAUCUCAUCUCUCACAAAACGAUAUUGUACGUCCAUAUGAUUCAAUUUCUUAAUCGGUUUUCCUUCUUCUGUCACCCGAAUCAGGGUUGCCACAUUUAAUUCUGUAAAAUUUUCUGAAAAAAUCUCUAUAUCUAUAUUUUUAGAGAAAAAAAAAUCUGUAAGAAAGAUCUGUAUCGAAAAAAUAGAAGUUUAUUCCACUUCUUAUUUUUAUUUAUCUUGUUUGAUUUUUCUUAUUUUUUACUUAUUUUUCUUAUUUAGGGGUUGUUGAAGUCGUGUCAAUACAACAAAAUAAAUCAGAGAAUAGUUUUACUUCUCUUAAUUGUAUGAUGUUUAUACAUGGUUUUGUUAAACUUUGCCUUCAAAUUUUCCUUCAAUUUCAACCUUGACAAUCCUCCUUGAGCCGAUACAUAGUUCUUCGCUUUCAAAAUAGAGUUCAUAAUUAUGGUAGUCAAUCGAUUUCCGGACUUUGUUUCGUUGGCAUUAAAAAGCGAAAAUAUCCGCUCAACAAAAGCUGAAGAUUGUCAUCAAAAAAUGUCUUACAAACGAUCUCACCAAUGGACACACAAAAAUUUCCCAUCACGCCUUUUAACAUCAAACAGCUGGGAGCCAGUUACAUCUGAGUCACUCAAUUUUUGUCCCAUAGAGUAGUGCGGGGCAAAAAUGCGCAUUGGCCUUUUUGAAGCAAACGAGCAUAAAAUUUCUAUAACAGUGGAUUCGUUUGAUACAUUAUUACACCAGCAGCUCACACAUAUAAAUACAUACAUUUCAUGAAAAAAGUUAUGAGGUAAAAAGAGUUUUGCGAUGUUUUGAUCUAAUUUUUUCAGUUUUGGAGAUGACGAUUAACUUACCUAAAAUAACUGGAAAGUUCGAAACUACACUGUCAAGGAAACCUUCAUUCUAUAGUAAAUGAUAGUGCGUAUUCGUUUUUGUGAAAAAGUUCAAGAGCUUUUUUUAAAAUUAGUUCAAAAAUUGCUUGUGGGGCAAAAGUGGGCAGUGGCUGUGGGGCAAAGUUCGCACCAGAGUUUUGCUCUGAAAAAAUAAUAUAAAAUGUUUUCAACUAAAUUUUUAAUAGAACCAACAAGAAGAAAACUGAUUUGAAGAAAUGCACUCCAGAAAGUCUCGAAGCGUUGGAUUGCGGCAAACCUCGAUAUUUCUGAAUCAGCUCUGAGGAAGAGGCUUAUAUCUGUGAGUGAUUUAUAAUUUCAAUCUUCUUUUAUCGACAUUGCUACUUCUGCUGGGAUGGGCCAACGAGCACCUAGGGUGGUUUAGAAAAGUAUUUACGAGUGAGCAGUCUGGGGAUCUGGCGAACCACUGCAGAGCACUGGACAAAGCAUUCUAUGGUAUGACUUUCAAAGAUUUACGUCGUCUGGCGUUUGAUUUUGCGGAAGCCAACAACUUCCAGCACGAAUUCAACCAAGUUGCAAAACUGGCAGGAAGAGUGGGAUUUUAGCUUCAUGAGGAACCAUCUCUGGAACCAUGUCUGUCUCUUCGAACACCACAACAGCGCAACGAAGCAACAGCGCUCCAAGGAAAAGCGUCGGAACUUUCAGAACCGAAAUCCAAGAUGAGGAAGAAAAAUAAACAAUUGCUUAAAAAUAAUUCAAAAUGAAUUUCAUGUUUUUAUUUUCACCAUGCAUUCAAUUCAAUAACGGUUAUGUUUCAUUUUUAUUUAUGUUUUCACAAUGAACUUCAAAUAAAUAUUGUUUUGUUUUUAAUUAUGUGUUCCAAAUAAAUCAAGUGAAGGUAACUAUGUAUUUAUAAACAUGAUCUAUAUCAUUUGGUGUCCGUUCUUCACGAUUUAACUCAAGAACGGAGCAACGGAUUUAAACAGUCAGUAUCAGGAUUGAUGCGUCUUAGUCUGUAUCAGGUUUAUAUGUCAAAAAAGAAAUUAUGUACCGCGAGUAUAGAUUAUGUACACAAAAAUUACUUCUGUGGAAACUUGAGCGCUCGAAAUGAUUUACAUCAAUAUAUCAAAUGUGGGUGGGACAAAGUUCGCCGGAUUAGCUAGUUUGUUAAUAAAAACGAAUUCUGUUUCAAAUGUUGAACAUUUUCAUAUAUCUUAUAUUGUCAGUCUCCUCCCUCCCAAAAAUUUCCACGUGGUAUGUUGGACCAUACUCAUUUCCACCCAUAAAACAUCAUAUAGCACCCCCUCCUCCCCACUGAAUGGUGCCUACACACUCUGGUAAUGAUGCUUCUUCCGCUGGUAAUGAUAAAGCAUUGAUUUUUGUUACAAGUUACCUUAGAAGUACAAUUCAAUAAAUGCGCACUGUUGCCCGUAUGGUGUGCACCUUUGCCCCCACUAUGGGGCAAAAGUACGCAUUUGCCAUUUUGUAUUAAAAUAGGUUUUUCUCUAAUUACAAACAAAACUCGAGAAAUUCUUGUACUACGUUUUGAAGGUAAUAUAUAUAUAGUUACAAUUUGGUAAACAAACUGAAUUUUAUUUGCUUUGAUUUCAAGAGUUAUUGGACGACAACAGAUAGGUGCGCACCUUUGCCCCGCACUACUCUAAUAUUCGACUUGAACUGCCUCAAUUCGAUAUCCAAGCUUUGUCUAUUACCUGUUUCAGCGGGUCGAGGAAAUUGACGCAUCAAAUCAUCAAGGUUUGGUAGCUUCAACAAGCAUAUGUUACCCAACAUGAACAACAAUAACAUUCUUCGCAAAAUUGAGAAAUUUUCUGAUUAAAAAGUGCGAUUGACGUUAACGAUAAGUGGUAGAACAAAAUUUAGGAACAGCAUAAUCGGUUUAGUCAUAGGAUCGUUCAAAUGAGUCAAUUUCGGUUGGCGAAUUGAUUAUGGUCAUAUUCAACUUGGAACGAAAAGAAUAGUUGAAACUCUUCAAGUCGAUCAAGAUUUCGCUUACUAAUUGCCUCCAACGAAAGCCAUCUCGUUGCGUUACGUCCAACAUUAUUAUGAAUCAAGUUAUCUAUGUAUGCACUGUAAUAAAUUUAAUAUAUAAAAUUGGAUCGAAAACAAUCUGUAAAUUAUGCAUCUUUUCUGAAAAUCCGUAAUUCUACAUAUACAGAUUCUGUAUCUGAAAUUUGGCGAAAAAACUGUAAAAUACAGAAAAUUCUGUAUAUGUGGCAACCCUGACCCGAAUUCACGCUUGAUUUCCUUCUCAACGCGGUAGGUUUUUCAAUCUUCACUCCUCAAUCCGCUAUUAGACAUAUACUCGUCUUUGGCCGAAGAUAUCACCACCGAUGUCUGCUUCCCUGUUGUUUAGGAUAUUGUCAACGAGUAGAUCUUGAAGACUGUCUUCCGGUCGGUAAUAUCUUCCACCCAAUGCGAGUCAACAUAUCCAUUUUUGACUCCCUCUGUGUCAUCUCGAUGAAACACCAGCAUCAGAUCAGUUGUACCUCGUAUGUAACGAUAGAGACGCUUGAGGUAACUCCAAUGUUCAUCCGUAACACAGCUUGGAAAACCGCUAAAAUAAUUCACCGCUAGACUCAUAUCAGGGCACGAUGUCACAGUCACGUACAUUAAUCAUUCCACAAGCUCUAUGUGCGGCCCAGUGCCUCGAUCUCCUCCUUUAUCAUCUCCUCCUAACAUGACCGGUCAUAUCACUUCUUGAGACCUAUCAUUGUGUUCGGAAAACCAUCGACGAAGUUCUCCGUACUCAGUGCCAAAUCUGAUACCUCAUAGCAGUCUUAUCUCACAGACUCUCUUCUUGAUCGUCCACAGCUCCAAACCGCUCGCUCCUGCACUCCACGAUCAGAUUGCUGUUGAAGCAAACUCUUGUAGUAGUCCAAACACUCGCUCUUCUGGUUGUCCAUCCACAAGCUUCUUAUAGAGAGCUCAACCUGCUUUGUUGUCACUUUCUUGGCUUCUCGUUUCGCACCAAACAGUGAGAUCUCGUCGAAUACUACAUCUCGUGCUUCAACCACCCUUUUUACUAUAAAUCCCAUAAGCGGAUUCCGUUGGCUAUGAAUCCUUUUGGAUUCAGUUUCAUUCUCAACUCCUUCGGAAUGUGGGUAUACGCCGAACACCCGAACACAUACAGUUUGCUAAUGUUCAGCUUCCUUCCGGUCCACCGUUUGUAGGGUUUUUCUUCACCUCAACAGCUGCAGUCGGGCACUGAUUAGUUACAAAUAUGGCGGGGCGAACGUACUCAUCCACAGCCCCCAAAACAAAAUUCAAUUCAUCCUCUCGAACACGCCAUUUUGUUGUGGCGUGUAUUGUUCGUGUUCCUGACGUAUUGUGGUCUAGGAAGACUACCUUGUCGCAGACCAGCAGAAACUUCUUCCAUUUCCGAGGCAGUACCUACGAAAUGUGCCCUAAAUUAAGGUGUUAUUAGGGUAACCUUUUUGUAAUAAUGCUUGGAAAUUUGUACAAUCUGUACAAGCUCACGGAUGAGCCCGUCAAUGCUGUUCGAUGUUGUUGAAAAAAAGUUGAUUUCUGAUAAUUUCUUGAUUCCUUAAGAGGCAACCGGAUGGCUGGAAUUGCUGCCUGACAGUGUGCGUUGCUAAAACCCGCACUCGAUAAAAAUUCAACAGACAACAUUUCAUUUUAACCGUUUUCAUCAAUAAUUCUAUUUAAAUCAGAUAUUUUAAAAACUCUGAGGGAGUAAAAACACAUAAUAGCUAUGCUUUUGCAAAGUUGGUUUAUUCAACCUCUUCUCCUAGACUAAAUACCCGCACCUUGGACCUAGCGCUACCCAUCAAAUCCUGUGCAACACAUGCGCCAUCUUUCAUACAUACUUUCAUCCACUCUUUCUUCAAAUCCUGGUCGAUUUUGAAGACUUCCCUGUUUUCCGAAGCUUGUCCUUCAUAAUCGCCCAGAAUUUUCCUUUUCGGUGAAGUUCUGGCGAGUUUGGCGGAUUUCCCUCCUUCGGCACAAAAACAACAUCGUUGUCUGCUGGACGAACCAGAAGGAAGAAUUCACCUAUUAGCCACGUCCUCAAUCGUAAGGUUCGGAUUGCGCUUGAAAUGAUCUCUCACCUUCCUUGCCUCCACGGGGUCGAUCGUCUUCCCUGUUCCUCCGCUGCCAGCACGCCACUGGAUCGUCUGAAUCUCCUUGAACAAUUUUAUCACACGGGACAUGAUAGAAUGGUCGAUUCCCAACUGUUUCACGAUCUAAUUGUGGAACUGGCGUGAAUUUUCCACGACCGCGCCCAUAAUUUGUUGUCGAAGAACUUCUUACUUGAAGCCAUCUCGAUAGCCACUUGACAGAUUGUGACGAAAUUUCAUCACACUUUAAACUAGUUUUACUCCAUUUUUUUUUUUACCCAUGCAAUAAAAAGUUUUACUUGAAAGAAAGAGUUGCAUUUUUUUCGAGUAAAACCUUUAAUAUAGAAUUUCAAAAGCUUUUUGACCUUCCUUCACGUGGACUGUCAUCAAUACCAAAAUCACUGUAUUUGAAACUACCGAACCAAUCACGAUGUUUCGCCUUGAACAAUGUCUCCGUAAACUUUUUGAAGCUCUCGAUACGCUUCAUCCGCCGUUUUCUACGAAUGGAGCAGACGGUCUCCUCAGACCGUUCACUGCUUCCUUCAUCCGUAUUCCACUCCUCGUUUUUCGCUUCCUUGAUGCUUCGUGAUUUGGUUCGUCUCGAUGAUUAUUCCUUUUAGCAAGGUUGUGGCUGCACACACCUUGCUUGUUCUGUACUUGCAUGCACACUUUUAUUAAAAUGCAUGCAAGUACAGAACUCUAUUGCGUUCAUCAGAGCUUUCUUAAAACUGUAGAUAAUUACAUGCAGACUGAACAAUAAUUGCCUCGCUAUCCGUGAGUACACUUGUCAAACUUUGAACCACUUUUUCGAGCAUUUUGGCAGGUAUCUCUGCAAUACCGGCCAAUAAACCACACCAUCCAGUGCAUGAAAUAAUUUCGAUUGUUGAUAUAUCGGGUCCGGUUAUGUAAAUCAAGUCGAUAAUAAUUUUGUUUUUAGCUAUAUUUGGCUGUUACAGAUACCGAACAAAGUCGGUAAGUAUUUGGUUUACUUGUUACAUCCCACUUCAGCCUCGUGUAUGCUUGCGAAAAGCAUUUUUAACAUAACACAAAUUUUGAUUAUUCCAAAACAUUACUGUAAGUCUGUAAUGUUUUAAAUAAUUGUAGGUCUCUCGUGAGCAUAAACUACCAGAAAUGAAAGUUGGAAAAACGAACCUCCGAAAUCUCUCCCUCCUUGAGAAAUAUCAUUCCAAAGCGAACUCUGCAAAAGCUUUACGCCCACAGCAAAACAGGCAAUGUUUCUGGUGCACUGCCUCCAGUGUUUUUCUAAUUGAAUUAAAAACAACAAUAAUUUUUGUUUCCGCGUUAAAUUAAUACCUAGGAGAAGGCGCCGUUUCAAUUCCGGGACUUUUCAAAAGAAGAAAGCUGCCCGGCACUCGGUGGCCAGUGGCGCAAAAUGCAUUGCACAAAAACAAACCAUUGGAAGGAGAAGAUAUGUUCAACAAUGGCUUGCGGGAGUGUGAAUUUUCCGCGAGCGAAGAAAUUUAAAUGGGAGAAUAGUGGGCUGAGACAGAGUCUUUUGUUCGCGAGGUCCCGCCGUUGUGCCCAAGAUCGCUUCCAAGAAGAAGCUAGAGUUGCAGAAAGAAAAAAAAACGAGGUCGUCACUCGUUACAGACGCCUCAACGAGAAUGGGAGGGAAAAACAGUGCAUAAUGCUGACGGCACUGGGAUGCCUUCUGUUCUGCUGAGCUGCUGAAGGAUACAAGUGCCCUCAAUCUAUUUGGUUUUAUUUUUUGUUUGUUUCCAUACACUGUUGCUUCUCGUUGUUUCCUUGUGAGAUUGGAUUUUUUUAAUACAGUUGAGCAUAUGUCAUACGGUGAAUAUGAUUCUGUUGUCCAGGAGUUCUAAAGUCAUUACCGGUUCAUGAAUAUUAGUACUUUUGGGAGACCCCCUCAAUUAAUCUUCAUCCGUUUUCCGCCAUAUAGAAUCUCCAUUUUGGUGAGGUCAAGAUGCACUCGUCUUCUGCAGAUUUUCUUUUCCCGCUUUCAUGUACCGCUGUUCCGAGAACCAUCUUCCAAUGUAUGGCUCCAUUUGCCCCGCCACUUUCUGCUAGUCAUUAUGGAGUCUCAAUUCGCUUCCACAGUCUGUCUGUUGCUCGCAGUGGAGAAGAAAAUGUGUAAUUAGUUUUAAUUGAAUCCAAGGGAAAUGCUGCCUGGACGUUGUUCCUGCAUAGUUCCGGUUUUCAUGCGAUGCAAUUCACCCUCCCGCACGCUCCGCCCUGGGCUACGAAACAGAUCGGGUAAAUCCGCCCACCAACUGAAGAGCAGCCUGGUAGCAUUCGUGCAGCAAUAGCUACGGAGAGGAACGAUAAAAACAACCAUUGUUUUGCGGUGCUGAAGGGAAAAUUUGGAUACCCGUUGCUUCUCAAUUUCAAUUUGAAGAGGGUCAUUAAAAGGUGAUUAGAUGAGAAUGGGGUACAAACUGGUUUGCAUAACUAGGAGAGAAAAAGAGGAUUGUAGAUUGAACGAUGGAGAAUAACUGAAAUAAGCAGUCCACAAUCAAAUCGAAGUUCUAUCGACUUCGCUGAAUUCCAUUUUAAGGCCCUUUGGAACAAAUUGCAAUAUCAUAUUGGCCAAAUAUUGUGACAUAUAUCCUUUGAUUCUAUAUGUGCAGUCCACUGAUCAUUCAACAAGAGCCAAAGGUUGUACCGCUCAUGACAACUCUACACGAACUGAUGAUUGCGCCGGCUAGUGACCAUUCUAUCCUGGAUUCCUCGAGUCAAGAAAGACGCACCACGCUAGAUAUGAGGUACAGACUAGGGGGGCGUUGCUGAUUAAUGGUCAGCUGAAUCCCAAUAGGAAGUACCCCGUGUCGGGCACACGUACAGAGCAUUGGAGACAGCAACAUCCCAAUUACGAAAACACUUGUAAUACUAACCUCGAGCCAACCGCGAGUAAUCGGUUACAUAUUACUAACAUAGAUAAUAAGAAGAAUUGUCAAAGUAUUGAACUUCCGGCCCUGUGAGGCUAACGCCAUAUGAGCCUUGAUAAAAAUAUAUAUUUUGCCUGAAAAGGCAUCCCACUUGCGUGAUAUUGGCCCUGAUUCUCGAAUACACUUCACGGUGGAAACGAAAAUAACGGCACGCCAUUGAACUACGUUUUACGAGUUAGUGAAGUGUCGAAGAUAAUGAUGAGUUUUCAGGCAGAAUGAACACUUUUCAAAUAAAAAAUCAUUAAUGAAAAUUAUCUUCUUCGUAUCAAACUGGUAUUCAAUGUGAUUGGAAAACUUUGUUUUCUUCAUGUGAUAUAAUAAUCUCAUACAAAAAUUUUAUCUGAAGAUAAUUUGAUAUUAUAAUGAUGAGUUUAGUGGGAAGCUAAUCUCGUAUCCAGAUGUCGACACUGUACCGUUGUCAUCGCGGAUACGUUUCAUUCCGUUUCCGCCGUGAAGUGUAUUCGGAGUGUAUUCGAGAAUCAGGCCCAUUGUGUGGUAUAUGAAAACAACAACAGCACAUAAACCGAUUCGAUAUUGUUCGCAACCUAGCACUUGUAGGCAACGUUUUCAAAUUCUCUCUAAAUAAUAGCAUGCACCGCUCGCUGUCUAGAGUAUCACUAAAACACUGAAAUCUCGGAAAACGGCUUUUAUACUUGCUGCGCGAGCACAAUUAGUCGUAACUUGCUCUUUUGAGAUGACACAACUGGAGAAGUGAAAAUUGGACAAUACAAAACGUGGAAGCACAGCAGAAAACCAAGCAAAGAACGCAUAUUUCAUGGUACAGUCUCGUAUCCUUAUUCCUAAUUGCAUGCUUGCUUUCUUGAUGUAUGAUUGAGAUUGCUUGCACCAGGCGACCAAUCAGAACGCAGGAUUUUCAUUUGGAUAAUACUAGACAUUUUUCAAUUUUUCAAUAGCUAGUUUCAUAAACUAUAUAUUUUUUAUCAUUGAUUAGUAGUUGAUAGGGAGUUGAUAGAGAUCCAUCAGGGAAUUACUGAGUAAUAAGCGCUCGAAAUUGGACAAUUUCCGCGACCCGUCAAUUUUUGUUUUCCAAUUUGCACCCCCAAAAGGGACGUUAUUCUACGUCGAAACCGAGUGAUUUCCACAGCCUGGGGUUAGCGUGGCGAUUACCAAGAUGGGGCCUCCGGAUUCUAUUCCCGUUUUUUUUUAUCCCAUUUAUUUAUUUAUCAGGCUCAUUAGCAUUUUAUCUGUAACAGAGCCGGGUUUUUAUCGUGUACAUGUACAUAUGUUUAUGUUUCAAUAAAUUGUAAAUUACACAGUGGAAGUAGUAGCCAUUUAGGCGUUAGGUUUUCUGUUCCAUUACAUUAUGAUAAAUUACACUGUAGUAGCCAUUUAGGCGUCAGGGUAUUCUAUCUGUUCUUCCAUUGUUCAGCAGACCGGACAGCGGAGACUGUUGAUAUUGAUCAUUGUUGGGUUAUUUAUAGAACAGUCAAUUGAGGGCCCUGAGUAUGGACUCACUAUCAAUCGCUUAGUAAGCGAACGCGUAACCAAGUGGCUACGAAGACCCCCCUAUUCCCGUUUUCGCCAGAAAAGCUAUCGUCAAACAUAGUUUUUCUGUCUUGCACUGGUUUCGGUGGAGCUUUUUAGGGUGUUGUGGUAUAAGCAAUGGCAUUGUCAGUCUCCAUGGAGUGUCACAAAAAUCCGGAAUCAACUCCUUUAAGCCUUUGCCCAGUCCUGAUGGGCCUCGGAACGUAAAACAGCAGUGUUAUGUUCUGCGAAAUAGUGGGUCGCAGGCUUCUCAAGGCACGCCAUUCCCAUUUUUCCAUACAUUUGUUCUGUGCAUUCGUGUAUUCACCUACCUGUGCUGUCAACAACGAGUAGCUAAUGCUUAUAUUCGAAGACGAUUAAUUCGAAAAAGAAGUAUCUCCGUUAACAACGAAAAAAUAAUAAAGAAGGGCAUAUUUUUUAAACAUCAGUGGGAAUCAUUGUACAUAAAUCUGUUGCUCGAUAUUAAUACAGAUGGUACAGACAGUGUUUUUUUCUUGAGGAAUCCAUCCAAUCCAUAGUGGAACUCGAUGAAAUGACAUUCACGAUAUGUACUUAAUGCAGUGCUUGCAAGCAAGCUUGUAUAUCGUUCUCGCAAGGGCAAGAAUGAUUUGUGAAUCAACCAUCCUCGGCAGAUUCUACAGAACUACGCAGAUAAUGGGUCCAUUUCAGAGCCAUGAAAACGUUUAACUAAAUAUUUAAUUCUAAUUGUUAAUGCAUUCUAGAUUGUAUUCAAAAUUAUAAACAAGUGAAUUAAAUAAAAUAAUUUCGCAGUUCUACGUCAACAAUGCGGUCGUAUCCACAACCCCCUACAAUAUUUGGUGUUUUUCCUGGUUCAUGUUUCCCGAAAUUACGAAAGCGUUGCUUCUCAGUCAACGGUUUUACAGUCUUCCGGGGUUUUCAGCCGAUCGAUCGGAGUUGAGGAUAACGGUCUCGAUGUACGUUUCACCAUUCAUAAAGACGCAAUCAUAUUUUCUCAACCAAUUCUCGUAGGCGUUCCUCAAACAUUUCUUCGCCUUCAGAUCAUGAUAUGCCCCGGUACAACUUGUGUCUUGACACUGCUCAAAUCAGCCCUCUUCCUUUGCUUUCUGGCCAUAAAACUGCUGCCAUUUUCGGAAAAAUCGAAUGAUAGUCGAACGGAUAGUGCGGGAGUUUCAUUUGAAGCGUGCAGGACCGAUUCAGGACGCGCUUGUUUGAUGUAAACCUAAGACAAGCCUAGACAAUUGGGGAUCGAUUUUGGACCAGCUGCUGAUUGGUCAAUUCUAAAGGGUUGCCGAUUAUAUUUAAAAAUACACUGCUACAUAAUGUACUCAUGGUAUGUACUCUCACACUAGUUUUUAUGAUAAAGCAUAAACAAAAAAAUUCAAUUUGUUGUGAAAUGCGCAACAAUUUUGCUUUAGGGUAACACGGGGUGAGUUGCACAUACGGGGUGAUUUGGACCACCCUUUUAUCUCGAAAAGUACGGUUCAACUUGGAUUUUCUAUAAUGUCAUCUCCUUCUAUUGUUGAACACUACGUAGCUAACAUAGAAAAACUUUGAUAAAAUUUAACAGGUGGAGAAAAACUGUAGCAUGAACGCAUCAAGCACUUUGAUUGUCAAGGACAUCAGAACGGAUUUUUUUUUUGACCAAGCACUGGACAAAAUCACCGCACAGGCGGUCCAAAUCACCCCGCAUCAAAUUGUAAAAUAUCCAAAAAUCAUCUCUCGUAUUUUAUGAUAUAUUUGGUAAUGUGUGACGAUAGCCACUCGGCCAAGCGAUCACAUAUUUUUUACGUUAUUCAUAUGGAAAUUAAAAAAAAAUAUUGAAAUAAAAAAUGGGAGCAUUUUUUGCGUGUCCUCAUUUUUUGUUCAGUCUUCAGGUUAGUGAACAAAGUGUAAUU